GAUGAACGCUGGCGGCGUGCCUAACACAUGCAAGUCGAACGAAGCACCUUACCUGAUUCUUCGGAUGCAAGUUUGGUGACUGAGUGGCGGACGGGUGAGUAACGCGUGGGAAACCUGCCCUGUACAGGGGGAUAACAGCUGGUAACGGCUGCUAAUACCGCAUACGCGCACGAGGAGACAUCUCCUCGUGUGAAAAACUCCGGUGGUACAGGAUGGGCCCGCGUCUGAUUGGCUGGUUGGCAGAGUAACGGCCUACCAAGGCAACGAUCAGUAGCCGGUCUGAGAGGAUGAACGGCCACAUUGGAACUGAGACACGGACCAAACUCCUACGGGAGGCAGCAGUGGGGAAUAUUGCACGAUGGGGGAAACCCUGAUGCAGCAACGCCGCGUGAGUGAAGAAGUAUGUUGGUAUGUAAAGCUCUAUCAGCAGGGGAGAUAAUGACGGUACCGGACUAAGAAGCUCCGGCUAAAUACGUG
rnacentral:rRNA from 1 species